rnacentral:rRNA from 1 species
GACGAACGCUGGCGGCGUGCUUAACACAUGCAAGUCGAACGGAGUGGCUAACGGGUGAGUAAUACGUGGUUAACCUGCCCUCCUUUUUGGGAUAAGCCUUGGAAACGGGGUCUAAUACCGAAUAAAGGGGGAAGGGCUCGCGGCCUAUCAGCUUGUUUGUGUGGUGAUGGCAUACCUAGGCGGUGACGGGUAGCCGGACUGAGUGGGUGACGGGCGGUAAAGGGACGGAGUUGCGGUACAUAUCACUGCGGGAGGCAGGAGUGGGGGGUAAUGCACCAUGGGCGAGAGCCUGAUGCAGGGACGGAGAGUGGGUGAUGAAGGCUUUCGGGUUGUAAACCUCGUUCGCUAUCGAAUGGGUAGGUGGAGAAGAGGCGCCGGCCAACUAGGUGGCAGCCACGGCGGUAAUUA